AAAUAUUAGUUUAAAAAUCAUUAUCAUAUUAAAUUAAUAAAUAAUAUUAGAGGUGUCCUAGGUAAAACAAUCGAUGUUGGAAAUGUGGGAUCGGUGUAUUCUUAUUAAUUUAGAAAGGCUAAAGAUCAAUGUAUAUGAUGGUUCUGAACACAUUGUACACUUAUAUUAGUAUAUAGUUUUUAUUUAUCACUUCAAGAAGGACACUGAAAUUUAGGUUUUUGUUUGGACAUCGCCUUCACCCAAUUUAAUCAUGUCAUACCUACUAAGAACAAGUUGAACAAAAAAAAAAAUCUACUAAGAACAAACACUUGAGACCUUUUUUUUACUAAACACUUGAGGCCUAUGUAGUUAUUAAUUUGUCAAGGCAUAUCCAGACCAUAAUCUAAUUUAUUAGUAGUUGUUUACUUGUUUUUGUGUCGGUGUCCCUUUUUCGGUCGAAAUCUCUAUCCGUUUAUGUAUGUAUUAAGAAAAGGCAAUGAAAACAAAAUAUGGAAGGAAUGUUGAAGGGAGACGACGAUUAUACUUUACCUUCCAUAUUUAUUUAAGUAUUAAAUAUUCGUUUUCUUUCAUGAAGAGUAUCACUUUAUAUCAUUUAUAUCACUUUAUACUCUCAUUAAAACUAACUAAAAUAUAUUAAUGUUUUAAUAAAUACAUUUAUAUAACCAAACAUUUUAAAAAUAAAUAAAAUUAUUUAUAAGAUCAAUGUAUCUAAUAAUUAAUAUUAAAUUUAAAACAAAUAUAAAUUGCAUUAAAAUUCUUAAAUAAUACUCUUUCUGUAAUAAGAUAGUGUCAAAUGACAUUUUUUUAUGAAACAUGGUGGGUAUUAGUUAUCUUUUAAUGUUUCUAAUUUAGGAAAUAGUGAAAUUAAAAUAUUAACCGACAGUUAUUUUAGAAGAGUUUUAUAUUAAAAAAAUUUGAGGAGGUUGGGUACGCAAACCAUCUU
rnacentral:lncRNA from 1 species